rnacentral:rRNA from 1 species
AAUAUCUAAGGUUUCCAGAGUAAAGCUGAUCUGCUCUGGGUAAGUCGGGGCCUAAGGAGAGGUCGCAAGACGUAUCCGAUGGACAACAGGUUUAGAUUCCUGUACCGCAUAUAAACAGAACUGUGGGGACGCAUGUGGAAAGCAUAAGCCGGGAAUGGAAAGACCGGUACAAGCGAGGUAGGUGUGUGACAGGCAAAUCCGUCGCAUAAGCCGAAGACGUGAUGUGGAGCGAAAUUUAGUAGUGAAGUAUGUGAGCCAUGUGCCGAGAAAAGCCGCUAUUGUUUUAUAUGUGCCCGUACCGUAAACCGACACAGGUGGAUGAGGAGAGAAUCCUAAGGCCGACGGAAGAAGCAUUGUUAAGGGAUUCGGCAAAAUGACCCCGUAACUUCGGGAGAAGGGGUGCCCACUGAAUGGUGGGCCGCAGAGAAUAGGCUCAAGCAACUGUUUAGCAAAAACACAGGUCUAUGCGAAACCGAAAGGUGAAGUAUAUGGGCUGACGCCUGCCCGGUGCUGGAAGGUUAAGAGGAGAGGUUAGCGCAAGCGAAGCUUUGAAUUUAAGCCCCAGUAAACGGCGGCCGUAACUAUAACGGUCCUAAGGUAGCGAAAUUCCUUGUCGGGUAAGUUCCGACCCGCACGAAAGGCGUAAUGAUUUGAGCACUGUCUCGACAAUGCAUCCGGUGAAAUUGAAGUACCAGUGAAGAUGCUGGUUACCCGCGCCAGGACGGAAAGACCCCAUGGAGCUUUACUCCAGUUUGAUACUGGGAUUCGGUACUGCACGUACAGGAUAGGUGGGAGACUGAGAACUAUGGACGCCAGUCUGUAGGGAGUCGCUGUUGGGAUACCACCCCUGUAGUACUGGGUUUCUAACCGUCUGCCGUGAUCCGGCAGUGGGACAAUGUCAGGCGGGGAGUUUGACUGGGGCGGUCGCCUCCGAAAGGGUAUCGGAGGCGCUCAAAGGUUCCCUCAGAAUGGUCGGAAACCAUUUGAAGAGUGCAAAGGAGGGAGCUUGACUGCGACACCGACGGGUGGAGCAGGUACGAAAGUAGGACUUAGUGAUCCGGUGGUAUAAAGUGGGAUUGCCAUCGCUCAACGGAUAAAAGCUACCCUGGGAUAACAGGCUUAUCACUCCCAAGAGUUCACAUCGACGGAGUGGUUUGGCACCUCGAUGUCGGCUCAUCGCAUCCUGGGGCUGUAGCAGGUCCCAAGGGUUGGGCUGUUCGCCCAUUAAAGCGGUACGCGAGCUGGGUUCAGAACGUCGUGAGACAGUUCGGUCCCUAUCCGGCGCGGGCGGAGGAUAUUUGAGAGGAGCUGUCCUUAGUACGAGAGGACCGGGAUGGACGGACCACUGGUGUAUCUGUUGUCGACCAACGGCAUGGCAGAGUAGCCAAGUCCGGAAGGGAUAAACGCUGAAGGCAUCUAAGCGUGAAGCCCCCCUCAAGAUGAGAUAUCCCUCCUUCGGGAGUAAGACCCCUUGAAGACUACAAGGUAGAUAGGGCAGAGGUGGAAGUGUGGCAACACAUGGAGCUGACUGUUACUAAUAGGUCGAGGGCUUGAU